UUUUUGGGAGUAGUCUACUUGUAAUCUUUUUCUUUCCCGCAUUUACUAUCUUUUUUAGGAGUAAUUUUUAAGUUAGAUUUCUGGAGUCUGUAUGUCGCAUAGGCACACUCUCUAUUUGUACAAGUUCCCAAUUUUAGUUUAAUUUAUAAAAGCAUUCGACUCUUCAGCCGACCCAAAAAUACUGCGCAUUCUGUAUAUUCGGCUUAUUCAACCGAAUCGACUCCACAACAGAAGGUUUCGAACUCGGCUGAUCCGAUCCCUCAUCAGCCGAAUCGCUUGAUCUGUCGAAGGGCGCAAACUUCGAGGGUCACCACGUGAAGCCGUUUCGUAUGUCUACACGC
rnacentral:lncRNA from 1 species